AAGAGUCUCGGAACAGGGUGGAGAGCGUUCGCAUCUGUCUCUGUUUUCUUUCGUCUCAUUUCCCAUCGCAUAGGCUUCAAUCUUUUCGUUGCUGUGCUCGUCUCCUCACCGCUGUCUUUCUUUUUCUUCCUCCUCAGCUGCUGGACUUGCGUGUGUGUGUGCCUAGAAAGCUCAAAUCCUUCCUCUUUCCGGUCUGAUAUUCUGCUUCUCCUUCCCCUUAAGCAGAUGAGUAGAACUCAUCUCUUAUCGUUCGGUGUAGUCAAUGAGCUGAGGACUGGCUGUUACUACUGCGCUUCUAUUUGGGACUAAUUUGGGGGCAUCAUUGGAGUAAGCAAGAAAUUGAGGGAGUCUGAAUAUAAAAUUUUUGAACGCUCAGGUGAGUGGGUAGCAUUUCGAAUCAAUUUCUAAAAAAGUGUUUAAGAUUCCUUUAGUUAAAUUUUACUAUUAUUCAUUUAUAAAUUAUGCAAAUAUUCUUGUUUAUCCUAUUCUUCCAAUAAUUGUUUUAUUAACGCAUAUAUUUUUAUCUUAUUGAUAAUUUAUAUUGUUGAUAAGAAAUGAUUGAAACAAAUUAUGAUAAAUGAUGUUAUUUCUCAAAAAUACUUUUAAAUACUUAAUUCUAUGUAAAUAUAAACAUUUGCAAUGCAACAACUCAUAUAUGGGAAAAAUGAUAAAAAUUUUGGACAAAUGAAAAUGAUAGUUGAACAAUGUUUGAAAGAGAAAAUUUUAAAAUUGUUUUAUUGCUUCGUACAUGUUUGAUUUUUUUUUUUUUGAGGAGGACUGAGUUCAGAAUGCUGGAUGCCAACAGCAGUUCCGUUAGCUCUUGGCAUGCCAUGAUACACCUAGCUAGGAGGGUUUUUAUAGAAGGUGCUAGCCCCAUAUAAUGGCCAAUGAACGUGGAACAGAGGGAUGGUUAUUUGUGAGUAUUGUAUUCACACUUGUUUUCGUAGGCUUCAUGCCUAUGUUUGUUUCAUGGCUUUCAGCUGCGCUUGAUUGGUUACUUAUCCUUGUGGACUGUGUAUCUAUGCUUGUUAUUCGUUCUAAUAAGACCCUCCUAAAUUUAAGUUAAAAUUUAUUAUUUCUCAAGUAAUUCUCUAAAAGUACUUUAUUGUACUACACUAUUAUUAAAAAUUUAUAUUUUAUGGAAGAAAUUAAUAAAUUUAUGCAAUUAUGUUAGCAAUGUUUAAUUUUCAUGAUUAUAUUAUUGAAAAAUUAUUAUUUAUUUUUUAGUUUAGUUUAUGAUUCAUUAGUUCAUUAAGUCACUUUGAGCAUAUUUUAUUAUUUAUUAUCUUCAUAUAUUUUUGUUAUAAUUUUUAUUGGAACGCUACUCAUCGGUUAUUUCUUUAGUCUUAAAUAUGAUAGCUGACCCUGCAACCUCCAGUAGAUUACUAAAGGGCCAUUUUGUUUUUUGUUUUUUGAAAAAGAGGAGGCAUAUUGUGAUUAUUGUUGGGUAAAACUCUCUAUUGUAUUUUGUAGUCAUAGCCUAGUGCUCCACAUACACCAUACUUAAGUCCUAGUCUUAUUUUGUUGUUAUGUAAAUUGCGGGAAUGGAGUUAGUCACCUUGUUGGUUUGGUUGACAGGUUUUGUUAUUGUGAAAAUUUUGAAAGGUCCAAAUUAUAAGGGAGCUCUGUUAAAAUUUUUACAAAAUGCUUAAAGCUUUAUGAACUUUAUUGCUAUGUAUAACUUACAUAUAAUAAUUUAGUUUAGUUUUUUAUUAGUCAAGACUUAUGGAAUAUGAAUUUACCUUAUAUUUUAUGCCGAUCACAUCUUUAGUAUCAGGGUGUGAAAAAAUAGCUCACCUUUUACCUUUGUCUCUCACUACCAUGGCCUUUGUAUGCAUAAUGGAAAUUACAAUGUCAAACUUCACUUUGCUGAGGUUAUGUUUUCUCAAGACCAGAAUUUCAGCAGGCUUGGAAGGCGCAUUUUUGAUUUUCAAUUCAAGAUAUGAAACGUUUGAGUGAUUUCAACAUUAUAGAGGAAGCUGGCGGUGUUGGUAAGAGCACUGUCAAAGAAUUUAAUCUUGAUGUGAAUGAUAACACCUUGGAGAUCCAUUAUACUGGGCUGGAAAAGGAGCUACAACUAUUCCUGAAUAUGGUGUAUAUGGACUUCUCAUAUCUGCAAUUUUAGUCACCCCAUGGUGUACUAUCAAAUGGUGUUGCGAUAGCUGUGAAGCAACAUUCGUCCAAAUAAAAGCAAGGGAAUCAUGAAUUUGUUAAUGAAAUUGGAACUAUAUCUACUUUGCAACAUCCAAACCUUGUCAAGCUAAUAAUUAGUUUCUAUAUUUUGCAGUUUAAAUGUAAUGUAUAAUUAACGCAACACAACUUUGUUUUAUAUUUAUAUAAAUCUUA